ACAGCCAUAUAACAUUGAAGCAGUGGUUCUUGUAUGAUCACUGAAGUUAAGCAACAUUGAGCCUGGUUAGUGCCUAAAUGGGUGACCGCUUGGAAAUACCAGGUGCUGUAAG